rnacentral:rRNA from 1 species
AGCGAACGCUGGCGGCGUGCCUAAUACAUGCAAGUCGAACGAGAAAGUGGCUUCGGCCAUGAGUAAAGUGGCAGACGGGUGAGUAAUACUUAGGUAACCUACCCUUAAGAUGGGGACAACCUUCCGAAAGGAGGGCUAAUACCGAAUGAGACCACGGUGUCUGCGGACACAGGGGUUAAAGAUGGCCUCUAUUUAUAAGCUAUCACUUAAGGAUGGGCCUAAGCACCAUUAGCUAGUUGGAAGGUAAUGGCUUACCAAGGCUAUGAUGGUUAGCUGAUUCUGAGAGGUUGAUCAGCCACACUGGAACUGAGACACGGUCCAGACUCCUACGGGAGCAGCAGUA